rnacentral:lncRNA from 1 species
GGAGAGGCGACAGACACUUUGCAGAAGGAGGCCGGGAGCAUUUCUGGUGAGCAGCUGCCUUGUGGCGCCUCUGCUCUGUGCCCUCACAGGGGGUGCUGCGGGCACGUCUUAGGAAGCAGCGUCUUAGGAAAGGCCUAAUGUAGCAAGGGGGUUAAUUUUAAUUACUUUCUCAGGCAGUAAAGCACAGCUUUGGAAUGCAUUUCUUAGAGGCUGAAGGAGGAUUCAUGCCGGCAUUUCAAAGAUUUAGGCUCCAAUCAUUUUCCAUCCUAAAUACUUAUAUUAUGAUGCUUAAAUAGAAACCAUCAAGAUUUUCAUAUUACUUAGCAAUUUGUGAAAAUGUAGUUAAGGGCUUUGAGAACACCCCUAAGUAAUUAAAGAUCUGUUUAAAAACAAGCCCCUCAGUAUUACCUCUUCCAGCUGCUAUGGGCACCUGGCUGUGCCCUCUGCUGUGGCUGGCUGCACCUGGUUGUUUUUAGCAGGUAUGUUUUUUAUUUGUUGUACAGAUUUCACUUAUUUGGAAACAUAGAAGGGGCUGCAGUCUGAAGCCACGUGUGCAGCUGUCUCCUGUUUCAGGUGUAGGGUAGGUUUGCCAGUUUUGUGCUAUUGUCAGAUCAGUGUGAGGUAAAUGCGUUUGAUGUGUUUGGUUCAGUUGCACAGUGGUUUCUGCAGAGCUUAGAACUUCUCUCCUUGUUCUGCAGGUUUUGAGUCCAUAGCUGCACUGUUAUCUGUCACGAUUGGUAGUGUUAAAGCAAGGGGGUAGCUUAGAGACUUCUGCCUUUCGCUUAUAGUUACUGCAUCCCUGCUGAGAUGUAGGUGACCCCCUGAGCACUCAUGGUUCUACUGCACAGUCACACUGGUGGUAAAGCUUUUACUUUGUGCUGCAGUGGAUUGGGGCCAUUCACAACCUAAGGUACGGCUGAGGUCAUUUCUUCCUGAAUGCCAUGAAUUGUGCAUUAUAUAUAGUGUGAGAACUGUAACGUACUCUUAAUUGUAGUCAUAUACAGAAACAUAUUUGCUGUAAGUAUGUUAGGGUGUUAGCUUAGUGCAAGCUUGAUAGAGUGUGCUUAAAUAUCUGUCCUUGGAGAAAUGCUUAGAAAAUGACCAGCAAGGAAAUUAUGAGGGAAAGACCUUAAAAAUGAUCUGGUCUGCCUUGAUAUGGUCACCAGUAGCAACUGCUGUUUCAGAAACAAAUUAACAGCAGAAGCCAUGUUAAAAGCAUGACAUUGACUCGUAACUGUUGUCCAUUCAUUUUCUUUUGUGGAUGUAGCCCAUGAGAGUGCCUCGCCCUGCACCGCCUGAAUGUGUGCCAUCCCUCGUGGAGGAGCAAGUCUGUAUUGCUGUGUUGUGACCACUAUAUAAAAAUAUGCUAAAACCAACAGGAAAAGGAAGUAAAUGAAAAUUUUGAUCUAAAAAGCAACAAAGAGGAAAAGUAUACUGUGAUCUAUAUCAGAACCAGAGCAGGAUAAAUAAAAAAGAACAUUGAUAUGUUCUUGAGAAAAUAAGUUUGCUGCCUUUACCACUAAAAUGUUUAACUGACAAAGGUUUAAAGGAAAGAAAAACAGUGAGGUGUGGGAGAGGGGAACAUCCUGAAUAUCUCACUGGGUUUUUAACAUGUCUAAUAGCUUUGUAUAAAUGCUAAUUAAUGACAAAGCUCAGCAUGGCUGUGCGCCAUGCAACCAGUCCUGUGAGACUCAUUGUAGUAGUAAUUUUUUUCUAUGUGCUGUUCUCUGCACCGGCAAAAUGUUCUCCUGAGUGACAUUGUGUGUAUCCUUUUGGUGUCCUCUGGUCCUGAGCACUGCCCUAGCUGCGUGCCAUCACUCAUAAUCUCAUGUCUAAAAAGGAAUUUUAUUUUAACCUUGUUUAGCUCUGGAAAAGUUACUUUUCUGGUUAGUGCGAGUGCUGUUGCAGGGAGUAGUUUCAAACCACUGCGCUUUGUAAAUGUGCAUGCUGAUUAAAACUUCUACUUUUCAUAAUGAUCUAGUAAUAUAGCGGUCAUGCAAGUAAUAGUCCAUACCUAAUGAUUUUGUGUCCAAGGACUGCAAGAAUUACUAUAAUAUAUUCAGUGGCUAGUUUUAAGAAUUACAAAGACAUUUACUUCUGGGGAAAAAAAAAAAAAGUGAUACCUAAUUUCUGAUUCUGAUGUCUUAUGAAGAUGAAGUGGCUGAACCCAGUGCUUCUGUUCAAUGUGGAGGAUGUGUGUGGGACAAAAAGCAAUGUGUUUUGAAGGUGUACUACAGAAAUGGGUACUUAGGGGUUCAUGUGGACUGCUUCUCAUUAAUGUUUCUGUUGGAAAUAGUGCAAGCUGAUCACAGGAUGAAAGUAGAGGUGGUAUCAUUGAAAGAAAAUGGAAGAACAGAUUGGAAUGUGCAAAUUCAUUUAGACAUAGUCUUGAGGCUGUAUGACAGUGUGACCGAGGCUGGUAUACUGGCCUGGAACUAGAGUAGUUCCUUUGAAAUCUAGCAUGGUCUAGUGUAGGUACAUGUGGAAUUUGAGGCACCGCUUGUUGCAGAAAAGCUUUCUGGAUCUACAGAAUUCUCCAGGUAUGUGAUGUGAUAUGCUUCACGUGAACUCUGACUCUUAACAGAUGCCAGUGGCGUGUUAGAGACUUCAGUUUCCUGUUUGUAGUUUCCCUGUGUUUGUUUGAGGUGUGGUGUUGGUAUGAGUACGUAGUUGCACAAGGACUGCAGUCAUGAGGAAGUUGCAGUGCUGCCCCUCUGUCCCCAGCUUCUCGCUCCUGCCAAGCCAGCCUGUCCCUGUGUUUAGAAAGGAAAUUGCACCCUGUUGAACGUAGCCAGGUGUGUUGCUGCAGAGAAGCCAUACAAAGCCAUGCCUAUGUAAGAGGAAGGAUUGGAAUGAGCUACACAGGGAACAUGAAACGCUUCCUUUUGGAAGUGGUACUAAGUUCAAGUGUUUGUGUAAUUAUGACUUGGUGGUACUGGUUUUCUUGCUCUUGGUGAGGGGAAAAAUAAAAGCCAUCCAAAAACGUUUUAGAAAAGAUUUAAAUGUGAGCAUCUCUUCCAUAUUAAAAAAGAAAAAAUGUCAUGAAUGAAAGAAGAGCUGGGUUGUAGUGUUAGCCCGUGACGACAGCUCCUAAAAUACAUUAGAGUAAACAUCAUCAAGUAACUAAAAUGGCAGUCGUAUUUCAACAAAAUAAUGACAAAUAUAUCUCAGUCAAUAGAAGUCUUUCCCCCGUGACUUACAUUUUUUUUCUUUUUGCUUAACAUUUUUUGUGGGAGGGGCUCAGUGCAUAAGCAUGUUGGGA